UACGUAGGGUGCGAGCGUUGUCCGGAAUUAUUGGGCGUAAAGGGCUCGUAGGCGGUUUGUCGCGUCGGGAGUGAAAACUCAGGGCUUAACCCUGAGCCUGCUUCCGAUACGGGCAGACUAGAGGUAUGCAGGGGAGAACGGAAUCCUGGUGUAGCGGUGAAAUGCGCAGAUAUCAGGAGGAACACCGGUGGCGAAGGCGGUUCUCUGGGCAUGUUCUGACGCUGAGGAGCGAAAGUGUGGGGAGCGAACAGG
rnacentral:rRNA from 1 species